rfam:Aneurinibacillus migulanus strain DSM 2895 super7, whole genome shotgun sequence.
UUCUCAUCAAGAGAAGGCGGAGGGACUGGCCCGAUGAAGCCCGGCAACCUGCUUGCGCAUGCGCAGGCAAGGUGCUACUUCCUACAGGAGAUAUCCUGAGAGAUGAGAG